UGUAAUUCAAAGACCCAGCAAGAAGAUGGUCCUCUGCAGAGCAGGAAGAGCUCACUCCUCCUGAACCUGAACAUACCAGAAUCCUGAUUGUGGGCUUCCAGAGCUGUGAGAAAGCAAUGUUUAUGGUUUACACUACCCAGUUCAUGGUAUAGCUCAACAUAAUCCACGUAAAAUCUCCCUGUAUCAAAUGGAACUUUGAGAGGAAGGAUAUGAAACCAUAAAGAGAAACUUCUGCAACAGAAAAUUUCUGCCAAGCUGGAGGUUAUCUUGGCCAUCACUUAGCCAGUGGACAUUGCUGGUGGCUGCUUCCUUCUGCCAAUUCAAGUUCUACCCAGCCUUCUGCCAGCACCAGUGCUGCCAACAUGCCCAAGCGUGGGCCUCACUUAGCACAGAGAUGAUCUCACUCACUUGGGAAUCCAGGGCUCCACUGCGACAAUGAAUGUUAAGGGCUGCCUUGUGUCUUUCCCAAAUUACCACGUGCACAUCCUAAGCACCUCAGAGUAUGGUUGUGUGUGCAGAGAGGGUCUUUAAGAGGUAACUGAGUUGUAGUGAAGUGAUCUGGGUGGUCCCGGUCCCAUAGGACUGGCGUCCCUUGUGAAAAGAGGCGACAAGGACGUGGACACCCAAGAGGAAGAGCAGGUGGGGACACAGAAAGGAGAAGACAGUCACCCACGGCCCAGAAGGGGGCCUCAGCAGAAAGCAACCUGCCACACCUGGUCUAGACUUCUGG
rnacentral:lncRNA from 1 species